AUUGAACGCUGGCGGCAUGCCUUACGCAUGCAAGUCGAACGGUAACAGGUCUUCGGAUGCUGACGAGUGGCGAACGGGUGAGUAAUACAUCGGAACGUGCCUAGUAGUGGGGGAUAACUACUCGAAAGAGUGGCUAAUACCGCAUGAGAUCUACGGAUGAAAGCAGGGGAUCGCAAGAACUUGUGCUACUAGAGCGGCCGAUGGCAGAUUAGGUAGUUGGUGGGAUAAAAGCUUACCAAGCCGACGAUCUGUAGCUGGUCUGAGAGGACGAUCAGCCACACUGGGACUGAGACACGGCCCAGACUCCUACGGGAGGCAGCAGUGGGGAAUUUUGGACAAUGGGCGAAAGCCUGAUCCAGCAAUGCCGCGUGCAGGAUGAAGGCCUUCGGGUUGUAAACUGCUUUUGUACGGAACGAAAAGCCCCGGGUUAAUACCCUGGGGUCAUGACGGUACCGUAAGAAUAAGCACCGGCUAACUACGUGCCAGCCGCCGCUGUAA
rnacentral:rRNA from 1 species